GUGGGGAAUAUUCCGCAAUGGACGAAAGUCUGACGGAGCAACGCCGCGUGAGUGAUGAAGGUUUUCGGACUGUAUAGCUCUGUUGUUUAGGACGAAAGUGCCUGCAGCAAACAGUUGCAGGUAUUGACGGUACUGAACGAGGAAGCCACGGCUAACUACGUGCCAGCAGCCGCGGUAAUACGUAGGUGGCAAGCGUUGUCCGGAAUUAUUGGGCGUAAAGAGCAUGUAGGCGGGAAUCUAAGUCUGUUGUGAAAAUGCGGGGCUCAACCCCGUAUGGCGAUGGAAACUGGAUUUCUUGAGUGCAGGAGAGGGAAGGGGAAUUCCCAGUGUAGCGGUGAAAUGCGUAGAUAUUGGGAGGAACACCAGGGGCGAAGGCGCCUUUCUGGACUGUGUCUGACGCUGAGAUGCGAAAGCCAGGGUAGCGAACGGGAUUAGAUACCCUGGUAGUCC
rnacentral:rRNA from 1 species